GCUAAUGAUAAGAUGCCCAUAUCUAUAGCUCGAGGGUUAAUGAAACUAAAACACAUUUUUUUAAAGAUAGGAAUAAAAAGCUGCUGUACACAUUGGCUGGGAUAUAAUUGAAGUCACAGCUGCUAUUCAUUAAGAAAGACGACAUGAAGUUGCUCUUAUGCCUCGUCUUUUUUCUAGCUCUCUAUUAUUCUUGUGAAGCUGAUGUAUGUCUCUUUGGACCAGUGUGUGCUCAACAUGUACUAUCAACAGUGGAGAAUGGACAGACCUAUUGCUGCAUGAGCGGCUACCACACGAUUUAUACCAGUCUCCACACUAAUGCCGGACAUCUGAGUGUUGCCUGUCAAUGUCUUCUGACCUGAAUGGCCACUCACGUAACAUUGUUUAUGUUUAUGUAGUGGAAUUAACUUGUUUAGAUCUCCAAUAAAACUUUCCAACACUA